AGAGUUUGAUCAUGGCUCAGAAUGAACGCUGGCGGCGUGCCUUACACAUGCAAGUCGUGCGGAGUCACGGCAGAGGGGCAACCCGAUGCAGUGGCUCAGCGGCAAACGGGUGAGUAACGCGUGGGUAAUCUACCCCUCGGUCAGGAAUAACCCGCCGAAAGGCGGGCUAAUACCCGAUAACACUGACGCUCUGCGGAGUGUCUUUCAAAGAAGGCCUCUGUUUACAAGCUUUCGCCGGAGGAUGAGCCCGCGUACCAUUAGCUAGUUGGCAGGGUAAUGGCCUACCAAGGCAACGAUGGUUAGCUGGUCUGAGAGGAUGGCCAGCCACACUGGAACUGAGACACGGUCCAGACUCCUACGGGAGGCAGCAGUGAGGAAUCUUGCGCAAUGGGGGAAACCCUGACGCAGCAACGCCGCGUGAGUGAGGAAGGCCUUCGGGUCGUAAAGCUCUGUCAGAUGGGAAGAAAUGGGUGGGGGCUAAUAUCGUCCAUCCUUGACGGUACCAUCAGAGGAAGCACCGGCUAACUCCG
rnacentral:rRNA from 1 species